AUUAUUUUUAUUUAGUACGAAAGGACCAAUAAAUUUAUUUUUAAUAUUCUAUUGGCAGAAAAAUGCGUUAGAUUUAGAAUCUAUUAAUUCUAAAAUUUCUCCAUUUACCAAUUCUUUAAUUUCUAUAAUUUGCAUUUUAGUGGCAGUAGCAUUUUACACUAUUUUAGAACGUAAAGUUCUGGGCUACAUCCAAAUUCGCAAAGGCCCUAAUAAAGUGGGAUUUAUAGGAAUUUUACAACCUUUUGCUGACGCAAUUAAACUUUUUAACAAAUCUCUUUCUUCAUCAGACUCUUCUAAUUUUUCAAUCUCAUUUUUAACCCCAAGAAUUAGUUUAUUCCUAGCCUUAGUUCUCAUUCCAUUAGUCCCUUUUAAUGAUUUUCAAAUUUUGGAUAAUAAGCACAAUUUAUUAACCUUUUUUAUUAUUUCAAGGUUAAGAGUUACUCUAUUCUAAUUAUCGGUGAUCCUCAAAUUCAAAAUAUGGACAAAUCGG
rnacentral:rRNA from 1 species